GACGAACGCUGGCGGCGUGCUUAACACAUGCAAGUCGAACGGGCUCUGUCUGGCUGUGUGCUGGGUGGGGUUAGUGGCGAACGGGUGAGUAAUACGUGAGUAACCUGCCCUCUUCUUUGGGAUAAGCCUUGGAAACGGGGUCUAAUACUGGAUAUUCCUGUCUGGUCGCAUGGCUGGGUGGGGAAAGUUUUUUUCGGUGGGGGAUGGGCUCGCGGCCUAUCAGCUUGUUGGUGGGGUGAUGGCCUACCAAGGCGUCGACGGGUAGCCGGCCUGAGAGGGUGACCGGCCACACUGGGACUGAGAUACGGCCCAGACUCCUACGGGAGGCAGCAGUGGGGGAUAUUGCGGAAUGGGCGCAAGCCUGAUGCAGCGACGCCGCGUGGGGGAUGACGGCUUUCGGGUUGUAAACCUCUUUCGUCGGGGGACAAGGCUCUGCUUGGUGGUGGGGUUGAGGGUACCCGGUGAAGAAGCGCCGGCUAACUACGUG
rnacentral:rRNA from 1 species